rnacentral:rRNA from 1 species
CCUACGGGAGGCAGCAGUGGGGAAUAUUGCUCAAUGGACGCGAGCCUGAACCAGCCAAGCAGCGUGAAGGAUGACUGCCCUACGGGUUGUAAACUUCUUUUAUAAAGGAAUAAAGUGAGGCACGUGUGCCUUUUUGUAUGUACUUUAUGAAUAAGGAUCGGCUAACUCCGUGCCAGCAGCCGCGGUAAUACGGAGGAUACGAGCGUUAUCCGGAUUUAUUGUGUUUAAAGGGAGCGUAGAUGGGUUGUUAAGUCAGUUGUGAAAGUUUGCGGCUCAACCGUAAAAUUGCAAUUGAUACUGGCAGUCUUGAGUACAGUUGAGGUAGGCGGAAUUCGAGGUGUAGCGGUGGAAUGCUUAGAUAUCACGAAGAACUCCGAUUGCGAAGGCAGCUUACUAGACUGCCACUGACAUUGAUGCUCGAAAGUGUGGGUAUCAAACAGGAUUAGAUACCCGUGUAGUC